AUUAUGGCGGUAUCUUAAGCUUUUCAGAGGAAUUUGCUCUAUAAUGGAUAAAACACCUAAAUCUUACUUUAAUUAGUAAAUUCAAUUUGUAUACCACUAUUAAAAUAAUAACACACAAUUAUUAUUGAAAUAUAAUUUAUGUAAUAAAUUAAGUCAAGGUGCAGUAAAAAUUAAAGAAUGAAGUGAAUUACAUUUCUUUUUAGAAAAAAAAAAAUGAAAUAAAUAAUUUAGGAUUUGAAAGUAAAAUUAAAAUAGUAUG
rnacentral:rRNA from 1 species